rnacentral:rRNA from 1 species
AUGGUCCGAUGGUACUGUAUCACAAUAGAAGGAUUGUGCCCAGUGACGAGGGCAACCCUACCAACGCCAUCUAUGUUCCACGAGAAAUGCAUGGUUUGGGCCCCAAAAGUGGAAUCCAAUGGUGAUACUUUUAAGAAUGUGGAGAGUGAAAUCAAUCGUUCUAAAAGAUUGAGAUGCAGAAGAUGCAAACUCCCGGGAGCAGCGCUUGGUUGUUAUGACAACUCCUGCAGAAAAAGUUAUCAUGUCCCAUGUGCAAUGAUGAUACCAGAAUGCCGCUGGGAUGAAAUUAAAUUCUUCAACAAGAUUUAG